GACGAACGCUGACGGUGUGCUUUAGACAUGCAAGUCGAACGAGAAAGCCCUUCGGGGUUAGUAAAGUGGCGAACGGGUGAGUAACACGUGGGCAAUCUGCCCCUCGCAGGGGGACAACCGGAGGAAACUCCGGCUAAUACCCCGUAAGUUCAAAGGGAGGCAUCUCUCUUCGAAGAAAGGUAGCUUCGGCCAUCCGGCGAGGGAUGAGCCCGCGGUGCAUUAGCUAGUUGGUGGGGUAACGCCUACCAAGGCGACGAUGCAUAGCUGGUCUGAGAGGAUGAUCAGCCACACUGGGACUGAGACACGGCCCAGACUCCUACGGGAGGCAGCAGUCGGGAAUCUUGCGCAAUGGGCGAAAGCCUGACGCAGCAACACCGUGUGUGUGAGGAAGG
rnacentral:rRNA from 1 species